ACGAACGCUGGCGGCGUGCUUAACCCAUGCAAGUCGAACGGAAAGGCCCUGCUUUUGUGGGGUGCUCGAGUGGCGAACGGGUGAGUAACACGUGAGUAACCUGCCCUUGACUUUGGGAUAACUUCAGGAAACUGGGGCUAAUACCGGAUAGGAGCUCCUGCUGCAUGGUGGGGGUUGGAAAGUUUCGGCGGUUGGGGAUGGACUCGCGGCUUAUCAGCUUGUUGGUGGGGUAGUGGCUUACCAAGGCUUUGACGGGUAGCCGGCCUGAGAGGGUGACCGGCCACAUUGGGACUGAGAUACGGCCCAGACUCCUACGGGAGGCAGAAGUGGGGAAUAUUGCACAAUGGGCGGAAGCCUGAUGCAGCAACGCCGCGUGCGGGAUGACGGCCUUCGGGUUGUAAACCGCUUUCGCCUGUGACGAAGCGUGAGUGACGGUAAUGGGUAAAGAAGCACCGGCUAACUACGUG
rnacentral:rRNA from 1 species